rnacentral:ncRNA from 2 species
CUUAUACUUUAGGGGUGUCCUAAUAAUUUUAGAGAAAAGAUACAGGACUGAGAUGAUACCCUUUGAACCUGAUGUAGUUUGUGCUACCGGAGGGAAAAGUGACCAAAUACUA